UACGAAGGGGGCGAGCGUUUGUUCGGAAUUACUGGGCGUAAAGGGCGCGCAGGCGGCUCUGAAAGUCAGAUGUGAAAGCCCCGGGCUUAACCUGGGAACUGCAUUUGAUACUCUGGAGCUUGAGUACGGGAGAGGAUAGUGGAAUUCCCAGUGUAGAGGUGAAAUUCGUAGAUAUUGGGAAGAACACCGGUGGCGAAGGCGGCUAUCUGGACCGUAACUGACGCUGAGGCGCGAAAGCGUGGGUAGCAAACAGG
rnacentral:rRNA from 1 species